rnacentral:rRNA from 1 species
AUGAGGCAAGCUGAUCCUGAAAAGAAACGACCACACAGAUCAAAGGUUUAUUUAGCAACUCACAAGAAGAAGGACGAUGCUAAUGCUAAAAAUAAAGAUAGAAACAAGUGCCUGGAUCGAUUGGAGAAUCUAAUAACUGAACGACCAGAGUUGGCACAAAAUUUGAAUGGAAGAGUCGCAUGGGAAGGUGAUGCCCUGCAGGAAGUGUUAGGGAAAGAAAAGAUUGGACAAGUGCAUGGCAUGGGUUUGCUUCCAACUCCUAAGCAAGUCUACGGUUGGACGCCACGGUAUCUAAAGAACAUCAAUAUGACCACAACUGAUGGAUCACCAUAUGAAGUUGAACAUGAUGUUUGGGAGGAAAUAGCAAAGAUGAAGGAGCAUAUAAAAAAGCAAGACCAGAUUAUUAAAGAUAUGAAUAACAAAGAAGGCUAUGUCAAUAAUGGCAUAGAAGAGGAAAACCUCCAAUCAAAUGAUAAUGGUAUUUCUCGGUUACCAGUACUGCUUGGUAAAACAAAGAGAAUCCAAUGCAAUGGACCUGUUGAGGCACGCUCGUCUAUGCAACAUGACAUUCCUGAGGAUAAUAAUUUAUCAUGUUCGCAUGAAAAGGUUGGCGACCAUGAUGUCAACCAAUUACAAAUUCAACAAAAUUCAUCAUCACCACAAGACCUUGUUAUUGAUUAUGUGCUAGAGGUGAUGGAAACCAGGAGUAUAAUGGGGGAAUCUAUUUCAAGACCGAACCAGCAAGGGACUAGAACUGAACACCCACACCCAGCUCGCUCAAAAAGAAGGCGUACUUCUUCCAUCAAGGCUGCUUCCAAAGUAGUUUUAAAGACUUCAACGUAUCCCAACAAGCGGAAUGUUGCAUAUGGUACUAUUCGGAGUACUGAUCCAAGAACUAAGGCUGGUGGUAUUGAGUUAGGUGCUGAAUUUGCUCUUGUGCGCAUAGACAAACCUAUUCUUGAUAAUGAGGAGUUGGUAAGGGAAGUUUCUGAUUGCAAGACACUUGGUGAGGCUUUCACUUCAGGAUACUUAAUUGCCUGGCCUUCACCUUUUAUUCGAGAGAAGGAUAGUUGA